CAUCCAUUCCAGGAGUGACAAGUGCAGAGAACGCCACUCAGCAAUCAACAAGAGAAUCCACACCAAACUCAACAACAGAGAACAAUCUCCCAACAACAGCAAAUAUUACACAGGUCCCUCCAACUACACUGAGCAGCACUCAAC